rnacentral:rRNA from 1 species
AUUGAACGCUGGCGGCAUGCUUUACACAUGCAAGUCGAACGGCAGCGGGGGCUUCGGCCUGCCGGCGAGUGGCGAACGGGCGAGUAAUGCAUCGGAACGUGCCCCAAGUCGUGGGGGGAUAACGUAUCGAAAGGUACGCUAAUACCGCAUACGUCCUGAGGGAGAAAGCGGGGGAUCUUCGGACCUCGCGCGAUUGGAGCGGCCGAUGUCGGAUUAGCUAGUAGGUGAGGUAAAGGCUCACCUAGGCGACGAUCCGUAGCGGGUCUGAGAGGAUGAUCCGCCACACUGGGACUGAGACACGGCCCAGACUCCUACGGGAGGCAGCAGUGGGGAAUUUUGGACGAAUAGGGCGGCGAAGACCUGAUCCACGCCACUGCCGCCGUGAGUGAAG